GUGGGGAAUCUUGCGCAAUGGGCGAAAGCCUGACGCAGCCAUGCCGCGUGAAUGAUGAAGGUCUUAGGAUUGUAAAAUUCUUUCACCGGGGACGAUAAUGACGGUACCCGGAGAAGAAGCCCCGGCUAACUUCGUGCCAGCAGCCGCGGUAAUACGAAGGGGGCUAGCGUUGCUCGGAAUUACUGGGCGUAAAGGGAGCGUAGGCGGACUGUUUAGUCAGAGGUGAAAGCCCAGGGCUCAAACUUGGAAUUGCCUUUGAUACUGGCAGUCUUGAGUACGGGAGAGGUGUGUGGAACUCCGAGUGUAGAGGUGAAAUUCGUAGAUAUUCGGAAGAACACCAGUGGCGAAGGCGACACACUGGCCCGUUACUGACGCUGAGGCUCGAAAGCGUGGGGAGCAAACAGGAUUAGAUACCCUGGUAGUCC
rnacentral:rRNA from 1 species